UGGGAAGUCUUGCGCAAUGGCCGAAAGGCUGACGCAGCGACGCCGCGUGUGGGAGGACGCUCUUCGGGUGUAAACCACUGUUGCCCGGGACGAACACACCAUUUCGAUGGUGCUGACGGUACCGGGUGAGGAAGCACCGGCUAACUCCGUGCCAGCAGCCGCGGUAAUACGGAGGGUGCGAGCGUUGUCCGGAAUCACUGGGCGUAAAGGGCGCGUAGGUGGCCGAGCAAGGUCGCGGUGAAAGCCCGGGCUCAACCCGGCGUCGGCCGUGGCAACUACUUGGCUUGAGCACUGUAGGGGCGGGUGGAAUUCCGGGUGUAGCGGUGGAAUGCGUAGAUAUCAGGAGGAACACCGGUGGCGAAGGCGGUUCUCUGGGCAUGACCUGACGCUGAGGAGCGAAAGUGUGGGAGCGAACAGGAUUAGAUACCC
rnacentral:rRNA from 1 species